UUUGUCAAGCAGAAACUAGCCGUUUCUCACCUUACGGCAUGGCCAGUAAGGUUAUGAAAAUUUUAUUAUAAAUUUUCUAUUGCAUGUAUUUAGAGGACGGCGUAAGUCGUCCUUUUUCAUAUUUUUUG
rnacentral:sRNA from 1 species